rnacentral:rRNA from 1 species
AUUGAACGCUGGCGGCAGGCCUAACACAUGCAAGUCGAGCGGAUGAAGAGAGCUUGCUCUCUGAUUCAGCGGCGGACGGGUGAGUAAUGCCUAGGAAUCUGCCUGAUAGUGGGGGACAACGUUUCGAAAGGAACGCUAAUACCGCAUACGUCCUACGGGAGAAAGUGGGGGAUCUUCGGACCUCACGCUAUCAGAUGAGCCUAGGUCGGAUUAGCUAGUUGGUGGGGUAAUGGCCCACCAAGGCGACGAUCCGUAACUGGUCUGAGAGGAUGAUCAGUCACACUGGAACUGAGACACGGUCCAGACUCCUACGGGAGGCAGCAGUGGGGAAUAUUGGACAAUGGGCGAAAGCCUGAUCCAGCCAUGCCGCGUGUGUGAAGAAGGUCUUCGGAUUGUAAAGCACUUUAAGUUGGGAGGAAGGGCAGUAAAUUAAUACUUUGCUGUUUUGACGUUAUCGACAGAAUAAGCACCGGCUAACUCUGUGCCAGCAGCCGCCGUAAAAC